GUGUGUGUGUGUGUGUGUGUGUGUGUGUGAGUGUGUGUGUUCUUGUUUUUGUGACAUAUCAGGACACAACUUUGUAUAAUGACAUGGGUAUGACACAGGUGUGUAAAGAGUGUCCGAACCUGAUCGGAAGAACGUCGAAGCUGCCCCGAUCGCGAAUCGUAAAUAUUCCACAUGUUCAAUAUUUACGAUCAGAAGUCCUGAUGUGUGGGAGGAACCCCGAGGACAAACACACGCACGCUCUGGAGAUUAUCACAUGAAACAAAACCUUAUCCAAUCAGAAAGCGAGAUAAUGGAAGUCACAGAGUGAAGAUGUGGACAGCAGAGAUGGAGGAUCAGCUUGUUGAUUUGUGGCAAUGUGUCGUGUAUAAACCAUUCCAGACACUAUCAUUCCAAUUUCUUCCUGCAAUCUUACAAGAUGUAAAAAUAUUUUGGUGUGUACCCAACAUUAGUAAUAUUUUGCCCGUUGGACCCUCUUGUGGCCUCAGGACAGAAGCCAAAAGCUUUUCUUCACCCUAACUGAAAUUAGGCAUAUAAUUCAAAUUUGAUCAUAUUUCAGUACAACAUUUUAAUUUAGUUCUUCAGCCAUUUUUGGCAGCCCUGGUAUGUUCACUACUCACUGCUGUGUGUGUGUGUGCACUUGAUGGGUGAGAUGCAGAGCACAAAUUCUGAGUAUGGGACACCGUACUCUGCCACGUCCUGUCCUUUUUAAUGAUUAUAAAGGGAGCUCUAUUUGCACACUUCUAAACUAUAUAAUCCAUUACUAAUUUGAAUCCUCAAAUUUUUUGGAGCAACAUUAUCAUCAAAAUGUGGGAUCCACUCUUGAAUUGUAAUGACUGCAAUAGUGAUAACCACAACAAUGGAUGAGAAAAGAUCAUAAUUUGUGAAAACAUAUGUGCAUUAUACAAUAAGAAUUAUUAAUAGGAAAUGGAAUAUGUUUCUAACUUUGUUUUUUAAACAUUCAUGAAUCUGAAUUAUUGUAAUUGAGCGACUGCAUGCCUGAGGUGAGUUAUUUGCAUUAAAAAAAUAAUAAAACCA